ACGUGAAAACAAAAAACAAAGUGGUUGAUCCUACUAAUAAGGCAGCUGCAGUGGAGACAGGGAUGUAUUUUGUUGGUUUAAACCUUUUUCCAGUGCUGCUGGGCAUUCUGUAGGUUACACAUCACUAAUCAGAUCCCAAGAGAGAGGCACCAGGGGGGAGAGAGGGGCACUGACCGCACGAUCCACAUAGGAGGGAGAGAGUGAGUGAGUAAGUGAAUGGGGAGGGGGGGAGAAAAAGACAGACAGAGAGAGAGAGGGAGAACAGCUGACCUGCUAACACAGGAAAUCCCACCCCAUCCAGCCCAGCCCUCUCUGCCUGGCUCGCUGGAUGUUAAG